UACGUAGGGUGCGAGCGUUAAUCGGAAUUACUGGGCGUAAAGUGUGCGCAGGCGGCCGAGCAAGUCGAGUGUGAAAGCCCCGGGCUUAACUUGGGAAUUGCGCUCGAAACUACUUGGCUGGAGUGUGGCAGAGGAAGGUGGAAUUCCAGGUGUAGCGGUGAAAUGCGUAGAGAUCUGGAGGAACACCAGUGGCGAAGGCGACUACCUGGCCUGUUCUUGACGCUGAGGCGCGAAAGCUAGGGGAGCAAACGGG
rnacentral:rRNA from 1 species